rnacentral:rRNA from 1 species
GACGAACGCUGGCGGCGUGCUUAACACAUGCGAGUCGAACGCUGAAGCUUGGUGCUUGCACUGGGUGGAUGAGUGGCGAACGGGUGAGUAAUACGUGAGUAACCUGCCCUUGACUCUGGGAUAAGCCUGGGAAACUGGGUCUAAUACUGGAUACGACAUGUCACUGCAUGGUGGUGUGUGGAAAGGGUUUUACUGGUUUUGGAUGGGCUCACGGCCUAUCAGCUUGUUGGUGGGGUAAUGGCUCACCAAGGCGACGACGGGUAGCCGGCCUGAGAGGGUGACCGGCCACACUGGGACUGAGACACGGCCCAGACUCCUACGGGAGGCAGCAGUGGGGAAUAUUGCACAAUGGGCGGAAGCCUGAUGCAGCGACGCCGCGUGAGGGAUGACGGCCUUCGGGUUGUAAACCUCUUUCAGCACGGAAGAAGCGAAAGUGACGGUACGUGCAGAAGAAGCGCCGGCUAACUACGUG